CUUGACUCCUCCCUGGUCCUCCAAAGUGGAACCUCUGCGCAGCCCAAGUCCCUAAAACGCGGCAUCCGGGUGCGUGAACCCCAUUAUAAACAGUAAGCUAGAUGAUGAUCGGCCUGGCCCACUCAACUUUAGCCACUCUCACAUGGACUGGCUGCCCACAAACACCCCGGAAAUACAAGGGAUCCCAGGAGAGAUCAUUUUGGGAAUCAGAAGCGAAGACUUAAGAAGGGAAAUGCACAAGUGGAGAAGCGGCCGGUGGAUGGUCAGACAUUAUUAAAAUGAUUCAAAGAAGAGAGAAAACGGUGCUACGCACACUUUAAAAAACUGAGAAACAACCCAGAAACAACUCAACCACUCCUCACCGGACAAACUGCAUUUCCCAACCUAAAGAUACUGUUGCAGAGCCUUUCCUUUGUAUAGAGGACAUAUUGCAGGUUGUGAGUAUGCUAAACAUUUUAAUUUGUAAAUGCUAAUGGAAAAUGGGCUUUCAAGCCGCAGCAGUAGUCAAAUAGAAGCAAAUGAGGAAA